rnacentral:tRNA from 1 species
AUUGAUUUAUAUAAUUUUACUCGCAGAUUCGCAAUCAGAAGGUCGACGGUUCGAUUCCGUCCAUCAGCACCA